UACGUAGGGGGCAAGCGUUGUUCGGAAUUACUGGGCGUAAAGGGCUCGUAGGUGGCCAACUAAGUCGGACGUGAAAUCCCUCGGCUUAACCGGGGAACUGCGUCCGAUACUGGUUGGCUUGAGUUUGGGAGAGGGAUGCGGAAUUCCAGGUGUAGCGGUGAAAUGCGUAGAUAUCUGGAGGAACACCGGUGGCGAAGGCGGCAUCCUGGACCGGUAUUGACACUGAGGCGCGAAAGCCAGGGGAGCAAACGGG
rnacentral:rRNA from 1 species